AUAGCACCUGCAGGAUUUUUAGGAUAUGCUGUAUCUAAAUCAACAGCUAGUGAAGAAUUCUGCUUAAGAAGUCAACUGCAGAUAGAUACCAGCUAUGGGAAAACAAAGAGACUAAGAAGGCAUAGGCUUAACUACACAGGCAAUUUUCGGCCAGCUGGGAGGAUGGUGUGAUUUCUAGGGAGGAUGAAGUUGAACAGGAGAUUGUCACAACCACCACCACAAACAGCCAGCAACAUGCAGUCCGAAAGUCUCAAGAGAGCCAAGGAUGGAAAGCAUUAAUCUGUAAUCCUCCUCAUCAGAAAGUAAAUUUCACAAAGGGAAAUGUGAAGAAGAUAAAGUUCAGACUUCCAAUAUAGAAAUCCUAUCCCCACCCCCAACACACACAAAAGUAACAUGAUAUCAGCUCACUACAUACCAUGCCUGGAUUAUAGUACCAGAAGAAGAAGAGAGAAAAAAAAGAACCAUGGACAUGGAAUCGUGAAAGGAAGUUAUCCACCUUUCUGAUAGAGAGCCUGGAAGAGGGGAAGCAACAGCGUGGAGCCCUAAGGAGCUGCCUUACUGCAGGCUGCGUGGAGUCAGAAGCAGCAGAAAGUCAAACCAUGUUCCGCAGGAGCUUCAUUCCUCCUGGAAAGCCAGGAGAAGAGAAACGAGCUAUCGUUUGUUAAGAAGGGACUAUGCAUAAGACAAUGUUUGGGGUUUGGGCCACUGCUUCACUAUGCGAGCCUUACUUUGCUUAUGUUAGACAAAGGCUAUUUAAAGGGUUGACUUCAGAUAUUUUAGAGUUCUUAAAAAAAUCCUUCAUUAAAUAUUGUCACAUAGAAUUGGACCUCCAUAUCUACGGGUUCCUCAUUCAUGAAUUUAACCAGCCAUAGAUAGAAAAUGACUAUUUUUUUUAA